UACGGGGGGUGCGAGCGUUGUCCGGAAUCACUGGGCGUAAAGGGCGCGUAGGUGGCGUCGUAAGUCUGUGGUGAAAGCCCGGAGCUCAACUCCGGGUCUGCCGCGGAUACUGCGAGGCUUGAGUGCUGUAGAGGGGGGUAGAAUGCCGGGUGUAGCGGUGGAAUGCGCAGAUAUCAGGAGGAACACCGGUGGCGAAGGCGGGUCUCUGGGCCAUUACUGACGCUGAGGAGCGAAAGCGUGGGGAGCGAACAGG
rnacentral:rRNA from 1 species